rnacentral:misc_RNA from 1 species
UAUGCAAGUUGGUCUAGUCAAAAAUCCGCAACAGGCAGGCAAUAGGGUUGUAGAUAGUUUCGUUUAGUGCGCUUGUCCGCUUGCUCAGCUUGCUUCACUAGCGGCUGGGUGUUAAACACUGUGCAAUACUCUGUAUACGAGCAGCUAGAUGCUCAUUCUGGGCAGCGUCAUUUAAAUGAUGGAAUUGUGUUUGAUUACCCAGACACCCAUACACCCAGUUAUGUUGCAGAAUGAAUAUGCUCGUUUUUCGUUUGUUACUAAUGCAUCAAAAGCUAUAAAUGUUUGUAUGCUCAGGAGAGAGCUUUUCGAGAGCAAAACAUCCACGUGAGAGUAACAUAUUAUUGCUAUGAAUACUUGUCCUUUAGUUUCUCUCCCUGAAAGAGUUAGAGGAGUAAAUUUUGAGUCUGGUGUAGGUCAAGAACAAAAAAUAAAAUCAUAAAAAUACAAUCAUUGUUCGAAUUUCCAUAAAUGCUCACACAUGUAUGGAAAAGUGAGCAGUUAUCCGCUUUUGUAGAGAAAUAAGUACCAGAAUAAGAUACGAAAAUAAUAAUUAAAAACUUAAUGAUGAUAGAUGUCGAGAGAAUAGGGGAGCUAUCAUUUAAAAUAUAUGCGCAACGCAUUUUCUGAGUGCCAUUAGAAUCCAAGUUAAAUUUUAAAUAAGGCCAUAUAUAAACAGAAAUCGAGCUCGAAUUUGAACGAAGCCCAAAAAAUAAGAAUUCAAUAAAACAAGUAUGCGAAUCUAAAUGCCGGAGUUGUUAAUAUCGGCCGUGCGAAUAACGAGAGUGGACGAGGGCUGAAAAUGAGUGAAAGUAAUAAAUAGUGAGAAACUCGAAGACGCACUGUUUGAGUCUUUGUUACCUUGUAUACGAUGAAGGAUUCCAGAGGCGGAUUAUCUCCGACUAAAGAGAUAACUAGCAACACGUAUAGGCAAGCAGUGCAAUUUAAUGGCAACGCAGUGCCCGAUGAAAAUAAGGAGCCAAAGGAGUUUUCCAUGCCGAUUGGCAAUAUGAUAAACGAUUCGAUCUCACAAUCAUCUUCAACAACAUCGUCAUCGUCAUCAUCAUCUUCAACAUCAACGUCAACAACGUCAACUCAGCCGCAUGGCGAGCUAUUGCCGAAAGCCAACUCUGAAUCAGUGGAGCAUAUUUUCAAUGCACCAACGUCAAGUAAUGCUGUCCCUGUAUUGCCAACGACAGCAACAAACAAUUUGAUGUCUGAAAUUUUGUUGAGACAACAGCAACAUGAUAUGCUUCAGCAUUGGUCCAAAAUGGAGGAGCGAGAUCAGUUAGAGGGCAGUUGCAAUAAUCGUGAUUUAAUAUUGGCUCAUUGCAUAUACAAUAGAAAUAAAUCGACACAAAGGCAGCAGCAGCAACAACAACAACAACAACAACAACAACAACAACAACAACAACAACAAUUGCUAGCAACACAAUUACUAUAUGCACAAUUUUUGCAACAGCCUCAUUUGUCCUUGGAUGUUCAUCAGGAGCUCCAGCGAGAGCGUAGGCUAAAAAUUUUUGAAUAUUCGGGUUUAACGAAAUCGGAGCCAAAAGCUAUCCCAUUAGCAACGCCAUUGCCAUUGCCAUUGUCAACGGCAAUAUCGCAUGACAACAAUAACAAUAAUCGAAAUGGAGUCGUUGAGCAACGGGGCAGCAAAUGUAAGUCAGGCAAGCGAAGGUCAUCACGAAACAGCGCAAGCGAUUCAACGGUUUAUUUUUUUCGAGAACAGAAGAAUGUGUUGUUCGAUGUCAAGAAGGGACUAGAGCAGCUGACAUUACUUUGCAGUCAAUUUCAGCUAAGUCUCAUGCCACCAUCAUCGACGGCACAGACCGCUAUUGAUGAGGACAACAACAACACAGCAACCAGCGCGUCUGCCGUGUCACUUGAGCUAACCGUGCAGCGCGAGUUAGAGAGCAAUCGAAUGAAGAUCGAUGGCAUGCUGAGUCAAGUGCGUAAGCUCUAUCAUCAGUGGAGCAGUGCCGAGCUCUACUAUCUACGCAGUCUGCAGCGCUUGGGCCUGCACCCGGAUAGCAAAACGAUAAACAGCAGCCAGUCGCCAACGCACAAUGUGAUGGCUUUGGCUGCGAUUGCGUUAUCAGCUGAGUGUGAUACAGCGUCAAAUAGCAAAGCCGAUGUAGAGAGCAUCCACAAGCAGGAGAACUGCAACAGUAAGCCUGAGACAAUUUCGUCGGAGAAUCGGCGUACGCUACAAGAUAUUGAAAAUAUUAUUAUACAGCAAGCAGCCGCAUCCGCAGCAACUGCAGCAGCUGGCACAACCCAACAAACAAAGCUAUCCGAUUCCAGAUACGAGAGUGCCGAAAGCAGCAACAGCGACGACGAUGACGAACUCGAUGAAGAUUGUUCAUCCUCACCUGCUUGUAUCUGGCACUCGAAGCACAACGCGAACCCGGCUGAGGCAAAUAUUGUUGAUGCAGCCGAAAUACUGUUAGAGUAUACCUCGCUGUCAACAGUGCAGGCCAAAAUGAAUGCCCGAAUUGAUGCUGCGCCUGCGUCUACUCCUGCAACUUCAACUGCUUCUCUUUCGAAUACCUCCGUCUUAAAUCUAACGCCCAUUAGCCAGCGCGGCUCGCUCAUUCGAGAGUCAAUGUCAAGCUGCGGCAGCGAUCCAGCCUAUUUGGCCGACAUACAAUUCCCACCCACACCAGCCACGCCGCCGACCAGCAGUAAUAGCAGCUGUUCAACAGUCACUGGAGGACCACUUCCACUCAAGUGCUCGAGUGCCACUCUGGCACCGGCUACUACUAGUAGCAGUAGCAAUAGUGCCAAAUACCAUCAUCGGCGCAAGUCACGCUAUGCACGCCGCAUUGCAACUCCUACCAGUCAGUUGGACUAUCAGUCAAGCAAAGAGUUGAAUGGUAACGCGUAUCAAGUCAGUUCCCCAUCAAUGGCUUCAUCUGUUGCAUCAUCCGCCACAUCUUUACCUCCGGGGUCAUCGGCGGCAGCAAUAGCAGCAGCAGCCCUUCAGGAUAGGCAUUCGCCAGCAGCAGCUGUUGCAGCUGUUACAGCUAUGCAGGAAAGAGCCCUAAGCGAUAUGUUUAAGGCACAGUUUGACGCUCUUACUUCGGCUGCUGGAGCUGGAGCUGGAUCUCGGAAUGGAGGUAUAAUUGGAGCGGGGACUGGUCCAGUUGGAGCUUCAUCGGAAGGUGUGCUAAAUGAAAACUGUGAUGGGUUAUCCACUAUGCCUAUGUCUGAUGCGCCCUACGAUUUAAGCAUUGGAAACAGGCUAAACAAAAUAAACUUGGAUACGAAAGGAUCCUCAAAUUCGCAAGCUAACGACUGUAAAGAUAGUUCAAAUGAUAAAAAAAAACCACAUAUCAAGAAACCAUUAAAUGCAUUUAUGCUAUAUAUGAAGGAAAUGCGAGCCAAAGUAGUCGCCGAAUGUACACUCAAAGAGUCAGCGGCGAUAAAUCAAAUAUUGGGUCGGCGGGCAACAAUAUGAAAAAGUGUCGAGCACGCUUUGGACUGGAUCAGCAGAAUCAGUGGUGCAAGCCCUGCAGUCCCAACGUCGGGUUGGGGAUCAACAGCAGCGUGGGCGUCGGCCUUGUCAGUAGUGGGCCAGGCGUGAAUAGCAUAAGUGUCGGCAU